rnacentral:rRNA from 1 species
AGUGAACGCUGGCGGCGUGCCUAAUACAUGCAAGUCGAACGGAGUGGCGCACGGGUGAGUAAUAUAUAGCUAAUCUGCCCCUUGCUGGAGGACAACAGUUAGAAAUGACUGCUAAUACUCCAUAGCAAGGGAUGAGACUAUAUCGUAUCAGCUAGUCGGUGGGGUAACGGCCUACCGAGGCUAUGACGCGUAACUGGUCUGAGAGGAUGAUCAGUCACAUUGGAACUGAGACACGGUCCAAACUCCUACGGGAGGCAGCAGUAGGGAAUAGUGCGCAAUGGGGGAAACCCUGACGCAGCAACGCAGCGUGAGUGAAGAAGGUUUUCGGGUUGUAAACCUCUUUUCACAGGGAAGCGGUACCUGUGGAAUAAGCUUCGGCUAACUACGUGCCAGCAGCCGCGGUAAUUC